ensembl:ncRNA C54H2.10 ncRNA
UCGCUCAUCGCUCCUUCCCUCACUGUCCGUUCGAUUUCAAUGAGUUUUGACCGCAUUUCAUUUCUAUUUCUCCAUUUUUUUUUGGCGCCCUCCUUCCCCUUCAA